GACGAACCGUGCGAACGUUAUUCGGAAUCACUGGGCUUAAAGCGCGUGUAGGCGGGUUCGUACGUCCGUCGCUGAAAUCCCCCGGCUCAACCGGGGAACGGGCGUGGAUACGGCGGACCUGGAGGGGCGUAGGGGGACCUGGAACUUCCGGUGGAGCGGUGAAAUGCGUUGAGAUCGGAAGGAACGCCCGUGGCGAAAGCGAGGUCCUGGACGCCUACUGACGCUGAGACGCGAAAGCCAGGGGAGCGAACGGG
rnacentral:rRNA from 1 species